rnacentral:rRNA from 1 species
AACGCUAGCUACAGGCUUAACACAUGCAAGUCGCGGGGCAGCAUUUCCUUAGCUUGCUAAGGAAGAUGGCGACCGGCGCACGGGUGAGUAACGCGUAUCCAACCUUCCCAUGUCCACGGGAUAGCUCGUCGAAAGGCAGAUUAAUACCGUAUGUCGUCAUCAGUUGGCAUCAAAUUUUGACGAAAGGUUUAGCGGAUAUGGAUGGGGAUGCGUCCGAUUAGGUAGUCGGCGGGGUAACGGCCCACCGAGCCAUCGAUCGGUAGGGGUUCUGAGAGGAAGGUCCCCCACAUUGGAACUGAGACACGGUCCAAACUCCUACGGGAGGCAGCAGUGAGGAAUAUUGGUCAAUGGACGAGAGUCUGAACCAGCCAAGUAGCGUGAAGGAUGACUGCCCUAUGGGUUGUAAACUUCUUUUAUAAAGGAAUAAAAUACGGGACGUGUCCUGUUUUGCAUGUACCUUAUGAAUAAGGACCGGCUAAUUCCGUGCCAGCAGCCGCGGUAAUACGGAAGGUCCGGGCGUUAUCCGGAUUUAUUGGGUUUAAAGGGAGCGCAGGCUGUUUAUUAAGCGUGUUGUGAAAAACCCGUGCUCAACAUGGGUCGUGCAGCGCGAACUGGUGAACUUGAGUGCGGAUGCGGUAUGCGGAAUUUGUGGUGUAGCGGUGAAAUGCUUAGAUAUCACGAAGAACUCCGAUUG